rnacentral:rRNA from 1 species
CCUACGGGGGGCAGCAGUGGGGAAUAUUGGGCAAUGGGCGCAAGCCUGACCCAGCAACGCCGCGUGAAGGAAGAAGGCUUUCGGGUUGUAAACUUCUUUUAAGAGGGAAGAGCAGAAGACGGUACCUCUUGAAUAAGCCACGGCUAACUACGUGCCAGCAGCCGCGGUAAUACGUAGGUGGCAAGCGUUGUCCGGAUUUACUGGGUGUAAAGGGCGUGCAGCCGGGAAGACAAGUCAGAUGUGAAAUCCCGCGGCUCAACCGCGGAACUGCAUUUGGAACUGCAUGGCUGGAGUACAGGAGGGGCAGGCGGAAUUCCUAGUGUAGCGGUGAAAUGCGUAGAUAUUAGGAGGAACACCGGUGGCGAAGGCGGCCUGCUGGACUGUGACUGACGUUGAGGCCCGAAGGCGUGGGGAGCAAACAGGAUUAGAUACCCUUGUAGUC